CGAGACCUCAGGUCAGACGGGGCCAGGCCAAAUGAGUUUAAUUCAUAUCAAUAAGGGAAAGAAAAGAAACUAAGCAAGAUUCCCCUA
rnacentral:rRNA from 1 species